rnacentral:rRNA from 1 species
UCAGCAGUCCAAAAUAUUAGUCAAUGCUCGAAAGAGUGAACUAGCUAACUGAAAUCAAUUAAAAAAAUUGAUAACAUAAGGGAAAAUAAUGAUAUUACCUUAUUAUUAGUGUCGUCCAAAACUGGUGCCAGAAGACUCGGUAAGGCCAGAGACACAAACGUUAAUCGUCUUAAUCAGGCGUAAAGGGUUUGUAGGCGGCUUUUAAUUUACUUAUAAAUCUUAUAAAAUAAGUUAAGAAUAAAAGCUAGAAUCAAAUAGAGGAUAUAUCAAAUAAUGCUUAGAGUAGGUCUGAUAUCCUUAGAUACUAAGUAGAAUAUUAAAGGCGAAAGCUUUUUUCCAUAAAUGAUUGACGCUCAGAAACGAAGGUGAGGAUAGGAAAUAGGAUUAGAUACCCAAAAUACCCCUCUCUGUCAACGAUGAAUGGUAGUUAUUAAUAAUAAAUUUAUUAUUAAUGGCAAUGUUAACACGAUAACCAUUCCGCCUUGUGAGUACAACUGCAAAGUUGAAAACAAAAAAAUUAGUCGGUUUCGGAGCAAACGAAGUGAAGCAUGUUAUUUAAUUCGAUAAUCCGCAAAAUGUAUAA